rnacentral:rRNA from 1 species
AACAAUCCUUCGGGUGCGUUAAUGGGCGUCGAGCGGCGGACGGGUGAGUAAUGCCUAGGAAAUUGCCUUGAUGUGGGGGAUAACCAUUGGAAACGAUGGCUAAUACCGCAUAAUGCCUACGGGCCAAAGAGGGGGACCUUCGGGCCUCUCGCGUCAAGAUAUGCCUAGGUGGGAUUAGCUAGUGGGUGAGGUAAUGGCUCACCAAGGCGACGAUCCCUAGCUGGUCUGAGAGGAUGAUCAGCCACACUGGAACUGAGACACGGUCCAGACUCCUACGGGAGGCAGCAGUGGGGAAUAUUGCACAAUGGGCGAAAGCCUGAUGCAGCCAUGCCGCGUGUAUGAAGAAGGCCUUCGGGUUGUAAAGUACUUUCAGUUGUGAGGAAGGGGGUAUUGUUAAUAGCGCUAUCUCUUGACGUUAGCAACAGAAGAAGCACCGGCUAACUCCGUGCCAGCAGCCGCGGUAAUACGGAGGGUGCGAGCGUUAAUCGGAAUUACUGGGCGUAAAGCGCAUGCAGGUGGUUCAUUAAGUC